ensembl:lncRNA
CACACUGUUGCAAGUUCUCUGCUGUAUGAUCUCUUUUCAAGCAUGCUGCAAUCUAGUACUGAAGCAAGAUUCUCAAUCAAGUCUUGAAAAGGACAUAAGGAAAGAGAUGACCUUGUGUGAUCCCUCUUUAUUUGCUCAAUAAGAGCAGCAACAACAGAAAAAAAAAAUGUGAAAAUUCUACACUGAGGUGCCACAGACAAAAAAAUAAAAUAAAAUGUCUUUUGCAGAAAUACAACUUUCAUCUGUCCAGUGGAUAAGCCAUUAUUGACAAGGUCAGCAUAGAUUUCCAUACACUGCAACAAGGGGAAAAAAAAAAAAAAAAAAAAAAAAAAAGACAGAGAGAAGGAAAAAAAGAAAAAGGAAAAGAAACAAAUUCAAACCUCACAGCAUUUAUAUAAAUCAAGUACAAAAAUCUUUGCAUCUGCAUAAUUAUUGUGUCAGAUAAACUUCUGUUUAGACUUCUGAUACAAAGCACAUACAAUUACAGAAAAAGGAAGCUGUGAAAAAUGAGCAUUUUUCAGAGACUUAGAAUGAAGUAAAGCUCAUCAUGUAAGUAAUACAUUUUCAAGAAAAGAAGCCCAUAUGAAUGAAAAUAUGAUGGAAUCGCAAAGAAGAACAAGUUGAAAGACAUGACACUUCAUUUCUGAAGAACUUGAGAGAUCAAUACCUUAGUCUAUGUAAUAUUAUCCACAUCUUUUCAGAAAGUACAUCCUGAAGAAUGAGUUGAUGCACAUGACAUUUUCUUUCAAGUAACUGGAAUAUAAUGCAAAGUCUGUAGACAAAAUUAUUGAUUUUUUUCCUCCUUUAAAAAAAUGUGAUAUUAUCAUCAAAUUUAUCUGAAAUGCAACGUCAGUGACAAUACAGUUGUGAUGAAUUCAUGUCUGCACAUUUUAUUUGCUUAAAUUGACAUGUAUAUUCUUUUAAAUCUUUUCUUCAUUCUGCUUUCAAAUUUGAAAAAGGAUUAUUCAGGAGCAAUUUGAUUAUUUCAGUUACUCUGCUGUGUGCAUUUUGAAAGGUAGCAUCUCCAAAUAUUGUCUUUCCUGUUUUGCUGGUUAAGCGCUUAGAUUGCCAUAGGGCUGGAUUGAAAUUGUUCAGGACAUGAUGAGACUCUGGAUUUCCAAGAGCCUUAUCAACCAGCCAAAAUUCAGGCAAGGCAGCCAGUGUAUUAGAAUGAAAUGUCAAUUACAACGCCCUUCACUGUUACAAGCAUUCGAGGAUGACUGGGAAGUAAAUGUAUGAUGGUUGGAGAAAUUACUUUCUUUGUAGUUUAACUGUAACACUGGCAACCAGCAAAGGGAGAAAUCUUAUUUUCUGUUCAAUUUAUUUAUGGCUCUGCACAUCUGUGCAAAUCUCGGACAACAUGACAUGCUUCCUUAACCAGGCCAAGGUAUCUAACCAUUUCCUGCAGUAACAUGUCUGACUAUUUUUUUCAAUAGGCUAUCUUUCCAUGUAAGAAUUACUUCUUUUAUUGAAAAGAGAAUAAUACCUUUAACAUUCAUUUCUCUUGCACAAAUUGCUUCCACAAUAUUUAUUCUCUCAUCAAAUUAACAUUAUCUUGGCUAGGAAUUAGAAUUCCUCUCUAUUUUAAUGAGAUCUUUGCAAAGACAAGGUGUUAAUCUACGAUGACCUUACUACGACAUCUCUUAAUUGUUGAUGGCAGCAAAUGAAAUGUGAGUGGACACAGAACAAAUUGCUUCAUUAGUGAUAUAGUCUGUAAUACCUAAGAAACUGUAACCCACAUUUCCAAGAUCAUGGGCUAUUUCAUCUCAUCAUUUAACUCCCACAAUGAGAUUGCACUGUCCAUGUUAGCUAACAGUAUAGAUAUUUGUCACAUUAAAAGGAUAUGCUAUUUAGCAGCUUACAGUAUAUAUGACUGUGUAAAAUAUUGUCUUCACCUCCAAACACACAAAAAAAUCAACAUAUCCUAAAAAUAUGACUGAGCAUGUUUUAAAAACAUGAUGUGACUGAAAAUGUAUGAGAACACAUCAACAACUGGAUCUGAACUGCAACAUCCCCGUGAUUGCCAAGUGUCCUAACCAGAAAUCUAUUUUUUCACAUUGUAAGUAGGACAGUGCAAAUCUUAUUGGGAUAAAAGUCAACAAAAAUAUUAGCUACAUGACUUAUCUAAUCCUUGGGAAAAAUUAGCAUUUGAUUUCAGAGUUGAGUAUUUACAUAGCUGCUGUUGAAGUGUGCAAAAUUGUAAUACUAAUGCUCUUCCAGGGAGAUUCAAAUUUCAGCAAAUUUGACAACUAAAUGUAUUUAUGUGGAUGUGGCACAGAGCAGCUUUGUAUAAUUAACUUUCUUUUAAAUGUAAUUAUUAAAUUGAAUACUUCAUGCUUCACCACAGCCACAAAAGCAAGCACAAAGGAAGUAGGGAAAGGCAGAACAAGUCUUUACAACUUCAAUUCAGCAUGGUUGCAUUUAUAAUAAACUCUCAAAUAAAAACUAUGUAGAAAACUGACAAAUUCAGAAAGGCUAUUUAAUUUUCAUCUCAACCAUAUAGCUCAUUUACUUUUAUUAUUGUUCUGCUUUUCCUUCAGCAGUACACUGAAUAAAGGAGAUAUAAAAAUAUAAUUAGAAAAAAUAAUAGAUUAUCAACAAGUACUUAUACAAAGGCUGAAAUAGGAAGUGGUAAAAUAUAUCUUAAAAUAAAGGAAGUGAAAGAAAAAAGAAUCCUAAAAGAAAAACAAAAUGAAACAUUUCCUGCAAAUAAACCAGUAUUUCAACGUGACACUGGAAGUAAAUAGAUUUUAAUUCAGAUCUUUUAAACCAGCAGCCUAGACCAAGAGCUGUGCAUGAAAAGUAUAGCUGAUGAAGAUAAUUUAUUUUUGUGUGAAUCAACCACAGGGGAAUAGGGAAGAAGGAGAGCAAGUAAUAGUGAAACUGCUUAACUGUCCCAUCUGAGAAGAUGUAUCAGGUCUUGCAGUGAGGAUUCUGGAAUUAUCCAAGUCCAGCCUAGUUGUCCCAGUGCCAAUGAUACGGUUUCAGCUCCAGUGCUUCAACUACAGAUCUGAGGUCUGUGAGGCUAGGGAACAUGCUCUGCACCCGAGGGUGCAGAAAAUUCAAAAGCAGAUGACUAACAAGUUUUCAAUGUGUUAUAUUCUCCAAACUAACUAUUUUUUCAUUACUAUAGCAGAAAAGCACCUUGAUAAAUGAAGAGCUUUUGCUCCUAAGCCCAAAGGCACUACAGCACUUCAAAGAAGCAAGUUCCAAUAUUAUUUUAUAAAGACUUUUUUUUUCUCCUAAAUUAAUUUUCAUUUUAAAUGACUCAGAUAUUUUUACUGAAGCACUAAGAUUAAAUAUCUAUUCGAGACGUAGAAAAACUUUAACCAGAAAAAAACAGUAUUUGUAGGCUUAGAAUAAUAUAAACAUAUACAUAGUUCUCUCCAAAAGUAAUACCUCCUAUUUAUGUCCAUGGAGACAACAACAGAUACAAAAUGCAUAAUAAUAAGAUUUGAUAGAGCACAUUGCCAGCUACAAAAAGCUAUUUUUCAACAUAGUCACUGUUAUUAGCUAUGCAUUCUGAGUCUGCAUGCCAUGUUCAUUAAAUCUGCAUCGCUGGAGCUGAUCCACUGCCACUAUCAUCCCUGUUGAAACACACCACCAACAACCUUACUGUGCUCACCUCCACUUUUUGGUCUCCAUAAGCAUUCAGCAAGCACUGAUGAAUGUCAGUGGGUGGCAUUUUUUCCACAUGAAGGAAGUCAGUGACACACCUUUGCUUCAUCCGCACUUCCAUGUCAGACACCAUUUUGUCAGACUGCCCCUCUUCUGCCAUCUAUCACACAGCAACAAAAUGUUAUGGAAUAUUGGUGGGAAGGUUCAACUUCUACUUCCUUAUCCCAUACAUCCAUCUCUGAUAGUAGGAUAAAUGUAAUAAAAUAGGAGGCAUUACUUCUGGAGCAGCCCCCAUUUAUACAGCAAACUUUACCCAUAACAAUAGGUGUUGUUUCUGCUAUCCAAGAUCAUGAUAGGAAGCAGUUUAUGAUCUGUUAGUCCCUCAUAAGAGUAUACCCUUUUUAAGACACUAUAUUGUGGAAUUAAUAAUAGAGUUCUCUCAGACUGAUUGCUUAGCACUCAAGUUCACUUCUGACUGCCACUAACAGUAGCUCGUUUGAGACAAAAUCAGUUAUAGUUUAGGUAUAGUUUUCCCUCGACUGCUGAGUAUGGAGAUGACUGAAGGUUUGUCACAUUCUAUACCUUCAUCAGUCCACUAGGACUAUCCUAAUUAUCUUUCUAUUCACAAACACAGCAAAAUGCUGUUACAUAUUGAGAGAUGAGACACAUUCCCUUCCUAACUUUACAUAAAAAUCUUAUGAGCAGAUUAUGACAUCUAUGUCUCUAUGUACUCCACAAUUAUAUGUCACUUAACUCUUCAUGUUGAGUCAACUUCUCAUAGAGAGAACUGGACCAGCUUUUUCCAUCCCACUGGGAAAUUGCACUGCGAGGUACAGCUGUGAAUCAUUCUGCCUUACCUGUCCUGGUAGCAAGGAAAUCAACUCCUGAGCAGGGACUUUAGUAACAUUGUCAUGGCCAGUAUCGAGCUCCAAUUGAUUUAGAGGAUGUAAGAAGAGUUAAAACAUUCAUUUUUCAUUUUAUCAACUCUACACACAUUGAUUCUGAAAGCAAUCAUUUUAAAGUGGUUUCUGGCCUUUAAUACAAUACUGUUAAUAAGAUAAAAGCAGGAAAAGUAAUAAAGGUUAGCAGGAAAAAUGUAAAUGAGUAAUUACACUAAAAUCUAUACACCUCCUUGCAAUUUCAUUUGAAAACACAGUGGACAGUUUCUUGCAAUGGACAUCCCUCUCUCUCUCUAAUAAAGGCAAUAAACCUUCGAGAUUAAAUGAAGGAAGACAAGAAAUGAGCCAUUUAGCUCAGUUAACUACUCUAACUUGACAUGUAUGGAAUUAUACAAUAAUUACUAUUGAAAGGUUUAACUUCUUGCUUGGACAGUACAAAAAUGUUCAGAUAAUAUAAAGACACUUUCUGUUAAUUUCAAAUCUGACUGUAAUCUAUUAGCCCUGCCAAUUUUUAGAAUCUUUCUAAGUCACUGUGAAAGCUGAAUCAACAAAAAAGGGUUUUUGAUUGAUUAGGAGUAUGUCAUAGUAUUCUAUUAUUUCAAACUCAGAGAUAUAGAGGUUAUUUAAAGGUUAUUAUAUAUCUUCUUCUGUGUGCAUUUAAGUGUCACCUUAAUCUCACUGACUCUAAUCAAGACAAAAUUUUCUACUACAGCUCAUGAUAAUUUUGAAAUACAGACUAUGUAUUUAAGUGACUUAUAUUGUGAAGGUCAAAAACCAAGGAGGACAAAUUCAAAUUGUCACCAUUUGCAGUUCAGCACAAGGCUCUUUUCUACCACUGCUACUCAUACUGUUAGUAAAUACUGUAAGAUCUAGAUCUGCCAUAUAAAGCCAAGAAACCAACAGUUUUAAAACUUAGAAACAUCCUUUUGUGUGCCUCAAGUAACUCAAAAAAAAAAAAAAAAAAAAAAAAAAAAGAGGGACAAUUCACUGCAGGAUGUCAGAAUUAGGAACUAUGUAGUCCUUAGGCUGGUUAAGUCACUUUCAAACAAAAAACUCUAUCUCACUGUAAGGUUAUAAAAAUCUUAUUAAAUAUCUCCCUGGUCCUCAGGUACAAUAGGAAAUUAAUAAAAAUAAAAGUCAGAAUUGAGAUUGUAAAUGAGAAAAUAUCCCAUAAAUGAAAAAUGCCCCAGAAGUUAUGGGCUUUGAAUAAUUUCUCAAGCAGCUGCAAAAAAUGUCAACAGUGGUAAAACAUAAAAAGCCAGCAGUGAUUUCAUUAAUAGUACUCUGCUACACUGCAGAGGAGAUCAUGCUAGCGUACACUCGAAGGACAGACAUUCCCUUUAAAAUUCAAAUAUGUGAACUGGAACUUUUCCUCAGUUUCAGCUUACCUGCUGUUACCUACACAAGUGAAACUGGCCAACUGGAGAUCAUUAAUCCACAGUCUCUUCAAAUCUUUCAUUUUCUCAAUGAGUGGAACACAGCAUGUUGAAGCACAUUCUGCUCACAGCAAGAGUAUCAAAGAGUCCAGAGACUCUGGAGUAAUGACUGCUGAUUAUGCUAAUUCUACACUUCCAAUAUCAGUCAAGAAACAUCCCCCACACCACUGCAGGUUUAGA